GUGGCACCGUCACGGUUGAGUUGUCAGAAGGUGGCAUCGUCGUGGUUGAGUUGACAGAAGGUGGCAUCGUCGUGGUUGAGUUGACAGAAGGUGGCAUUCGUGGUUGAGUUGUCAGAAGGUGGCAUCGUCGUGGUUGAGUUUGCAGUCUGGUUUGC